rnacentral:rRNA from 1 species
CUUUGGAAUCUUCCCAGUAGUGGGGAAUAACCAGUCGAAAGAUUGGCUAAUACCGCAUACGUCCGAAAGGGGAAAGCAGGGGAUCGUAAGACCUUGCGCUAUUGGAUGAGCCAAAGUCGGAUUAGCUAGUUGGUGAGGUAAUGGCUCACCAAGGCGACAAUCCGUAGCUGGUCUGAGAGGACGACCAGCCACACCGGAACUGAGACACGGUCCGGACUCCUACGGGAGGCAGCAGUGGGGAAUAUUGGACAAUGGGGGAAACCCUGAUCCAGCGACGCCGCGUGUGUGAAGAAGGCCUGCGGGUUGUAAAGCACUUUUAGUGGGGACAAAAAGCCAAGGGCUAAUACCUUUUGGUCUUGAUUUAACUCACAGAAAAAGCACCGGCUAACUCUGUGCCAGCAGCCGCGGUAAUACAGAGGGUGCGAGCGUUAAUCGGAAUUACUGGGCGUAAAGCGCGCGUAGACGGUUUUGUAAGUCAGAUGUGAAAUCCCCGGGCUCAACCUGGGAACUGCAUUUGAUACUGCAUGGCUAGAGUACGGUAGAGGGAAGCGGAAUUUCCGGUGUAGCGGUGAAAUGCGUAGAUAUCGGAAGGAACACCAGUGGCGAAAGCGGCUUCCUGGACCAGUACUGACGUUCAUGUGCGAAAGCGUGGGGAGCAAACAGGAUUAGAUACCCUGGUAGUCCACGCCAUAAACGAUGACA